GAUGAACGCUGGCGGCGUGCCUAAUACAUGCAAGUCGAGCGAACAGACGAGGAGCUUGCUCCUCUGACGUUAGCGGCGGACGGGUGAGUAACACGUGGAUAACCUACCUAUAAGACUGGGAUAACUUCGGGAAACCGGAGCUAAUACCGGAUAAUAUAUUGAACCGCAUGGUUCAAUAGUGAAAGACGGUUUUGCUGUCACUUAUAGAUGGAUCCGCGCCGCAUUAGCUAGUUGGUAAGGUAACGGCUUACCAGGCAACGAUGCGUAGCCGACCUGAGAGGGUGAUCGGCCACACUGGAACUGAGACACGGUCCAGACUCCUACGGGAGGCAGCAGUAGGGAAUCUUCCGCAAAGGGCGAAAGCCUGACGGAGCAACGCCGCGUGAGUGAUGAAGGUCUUCGGAUCGUAAAACUCUGUUAUUAGGGAAGAACAAAUGUGUAAGUAACUAUGCACGUCUUGACGGUACCUAAUCAGAAAGCCACGGCUAACUACGUG
rnacentral:rRNA from 1 species